GUUGUAUUGGUGUAUUGCUAACUUAGGAGUAUUAAACAUUGGAGUAUUUAUAAUUUGGAUCUCUCUAACCCUUUAGUUUGAUUUGGUAUUCUUUAGUAUACUUUUCUGAGUCUAGUAUCUAUAUGCAGGUACUUGGUGAAGCUUACCAGGUUUUAAGUGACCCUAACAAGCGUGAAGCAUAUGAUAAAUAUGGAAAGGAAGGAGUACAAGACGAUUCAAUGAUAGACCCUACAGCUGUAUUUGGAAUGGUUUUCGGAAACGACCUAUUUGAAGAUUACAUUGGAGUACUAAGCUUCAUUUCUAUGGCAACUAUAGAAAUUGAAGACAACAUUCAGGAUCCUGAAGCUCAGAAGCAGAGGUUUCUUGAGAAGUUGAAAGAACGGCAGAAGGAAAGGGAGCUAAAGCUCAUUUCAAGUCUCAAAAAUCACCUGCAACCAUUUGUUGAGGGUCGAGUAGAUGAAUUCAUUAGUUGGGCAAAUAAAGAAGCUAUCCGUCUUUCAACAGCUGAACAUAUGUCAGAUAUGAAUUUGAAUGUCUUCCUGGCUACAUGAAGGGUCUAGCGACAUGGGAGGUUAAAUUCUCCAACCACAUUUGAAAUGCCACUGGAGGUUUUGGGCCAUGAAUUGCAGUUUACUCAGGAUCCCAGUUCAAAGCACUUAGGAACAAAAGUGUGGGAUUCAUCACUUGUUUUUGCCAAAUUUCUUGAACGGAAUUGCAGAAAGGGAAGGUUUUCUCCAGCUAAACUUAAAGGAAAACGUGUAAUUGAACUUGGAGCUGGCUAUGGUGUUUCUGGUUUUGCACAAUAACCACCACCUAUCACUUUCAUAAUUCUUCCUGAUCCAUCAGAACAUCACAACUCAGAGUAUUCAGGUAUUGUUUUUUCUUGUAUUGUUGUCUUGCAUUGCUUUAAACUACUAUGAUCACAUUUUCAAUUACAUAUAUGAAGUUCAAUCCUGUCAUUUAAAACUUAACUAUAUAGGAAAUUUUAAGAACUUGGAGGUUAAGAACUUGGAGGUUAAUUACUUGCAAUUAUCUAACCAUUCUUGUCCAUGCUUGGCUUUGCGUGUCAGGAACAUUCUUGAUCACAUAUUAAUUUCUUGUUGCUAUUUCAUUUGGAUUAAUUUUUUGACAGCUUGCAGAUGUGUGUUGCUUUUUGUCAUAAUUAACACAGUUAAAUAUUAAAGCACUCCCAAGCUGUUCAUGUCACCAACUUGUGGAGGGACUUCUCCAGUGAGUUGAUUGUGGAAAAGAUCAAGUGCUUCUAAUUUCAAUAGAUUCCCAAGAGAAGAUGAGAUUUCACCUGAGAGAUUGUUGUAACUGAGGUCUAAACUGAUAUAGAGAUUUUUGGCAUUUUUCAAUUUCUGUUUUAAUAUGGAGAAUAACACAGCUUUUAGUAUGGUUGAUAGUUUUAGUAUGGUUGAUAGUUUUAGUAUGGUUGAAAAAUAUAUUGAGGAUUAUAGUUGAUGUA